UGUGUGAGUGAAAAAAAAAAGCAGCCACAAGAAUCUAGUACGCCAUGCAGGAAACAUAAGCAAAGACAGAGGGCCCAUUCUUACACAAAGUGGGCAGGACACUGUGACCAAAACACACACACGCAUGCAGAGGAGGAGGAGGAAAAAGACAGAAAACAGUUAGAGAGGGAAACAGGAACAGAAAGUGAAGACUUGUCAAGAUGUCUGAGUGAGGAGUACCAGAAGAGAACCGAACAGAGCAGAAGCCACAUGCCAAAACAGAAAGAACAGAAGUCUAAGCAGCUGGCUGGAUUAGACAGGAGGGGAGAGGUGACCUGCUGCUACAGAAGUGCCUGCAGGGUUGUUGGAUUAUCCUACACACCAUGAGGGAGGAGUCAUACAUACAAUGUGAAUAAAUAAAGCUACACCAGUUCAGCAAUUCAGCAAAACUGAAAAAAAAGGCAAGAGGACACGAGGAAACUCAAGAAACUCAAGUGGAAUGCGGACCUGCCUCACCAAACACAACUACCGAUCAAAUCAUAGCAGCUGGUUGAUUUCCAGCCAAAGAUCACCACCAACAAGAGAGCUUGGUUGUUAAGACGAUACAGUGAACACUUGUGAACAGAAGGCAUCCAUUAAGUUAACUUCCAGUGUCUUUGUUCAACAGAAACCCCACAAGCCUGAACACAUCGAUCAGAUAGAGCACUGCUUAAUGGAAAAUAUCUCAUCUGGGAUCUUUAGGACUUUGAGCAGCUUGUGAAACUCAGAACUCAAUGAAAUUUUCUGACUUGACAGCAGAUGGACUAAUAUAGUCUCCGUUUUCAACAGAAAGCAUCAUAAAUCAACUUUUGACCUUCAAAAAGGACUCUCUAAAGGAGCCGUUCCAACUAUUUGCUUAGCUCAAAAAAGCGUCACAU